rnacentral:rRNA from 1 species
UACAGAGGGGGCAAGCGUGGUUCGGAAUUACUGGGCGUAAAGGGCGCGUAGGCGGCCUGUUAAGUCGAACGUGAAAUCCCCGGGCUCAACCCGGGAACUGCGUCCGAUACUGGCAGGCUUGAAUUCGGGAGAGGGAUGCGGAAUUCCAGGUGUAGCGGUGAAAUGCGUAGAUAUCUGGAGGAACACCGGUGGCGAAGGCGGCAUCCUGGACCGAGAUUGACGCUGAGGCGCGAAAGCCAGGGGAGCAAACGGG